GACGAACGCUGGCGGCGUGCUUAACACAUGCAAGUCGAACGGAAAGGCCCUGCUUUUGUGGGGUGCUCGAGUGGCGAACGGGUGAGUAACACGUGAGUAACCUGCCCUUGACUUUGGGAUAACUUCAGGAAACUGGGGCUAAUACCGGAUAGGAGCUCCUGCUGCAUGGUGGGGGUUGGAAAGUUUCGGCGGUUGGGGAUGGACUCGCGGCUUAUCAGCUUGUUGGUGGGGUAGUGGCUUACCAAGGCUUUGACGGGUAGCCGGCCUGAGAGGGUGACCGGCCACAUUGGCCCUAAGCGACGCCCCGCAGUCCACGGGGGGCAAGGGGGGAAAGUCUGGCCGAAGAGGGCGGAGGCAGUAUACAACAACCCCGGGUCGGGGAGACCGGCGUUCGGUGAAGAACCCUUUUGGGCGUGGAAAGAGCGUCGAGUGACGGUAAUGGAUAAGAGAGCCCCGCCUAACUACGUG
rnacentral:rRNA from 1 species